GACGAACGCUGGCGGCGUGCUUAACACAUGCAAGUCGAACGGAAAGGCCCUGCUUUUGUGGGGUGCUCGAUUGGCGAACGGGUGAGUAACACGUGAGUAACCUGCCCUUGUCUUUGGGAUAACUUCAGGAAACUGGGGCUAAUAUCGGAUAGGAGCUCCUGCAGCGUGGUGGGGGUUGGAAAGUUUCGGCUGUUGGGGAUGGACUCGCGGCUUAUCAGCUUGUUGGUGGGGUAGUGGCUUACCAAGGCUUUGACGGGUAGCCGGCCUGAGAGGGUGACCGGCGACAUUGCGCCUGAGAUACGGACCAGACGCCUACGGGAGGCAGCAGUGGGGAAUCUUGCACAAUGGGCGGAAGCCUGAUGCAGCAACGCCGCGUGCGUGAUGACGGCCUUCGGGUUGUAAACCGCUUUCGCCUGUGACGAAGCGUGAGUGACGGUAAUGGGUAAAGAAGCACCGGCUAACUACGUG
rnacentral:rRNA from 1 species